AGAACAUGCACCGCUGCUGCCCAGGCUCCAAUAAGGGCAGGGUUGGCGCGUGUGGGCUUCUCUAAAGGGAAACAUGGCCAGUAAUUUUAAAAUCCAUCCCCUCUUCAAUGAUAGCAAAUAUAAAAGCAACGGGCUGCAAGGUACACGUAUGUUUAAUGAAAAAUGGAGGGACGUGGUGAGUAUCUCCUGCUGAAGAGAGAGGAAAAUUUAAGUACUCUGCAUGUGUAUAUUGAAGCAUCACUAAUUUAGGAUAUUGAUGAAACUAGCCUAUGCAAUUGCAUUUUUUUUACAAAAAAUGUUAAUUUCAUAGAAACUCUUAAAAACAUGGGUACUAGCCGAUAAAAUGAGUCAAUUAAGACUAUUGCCACCUGCAGUAAAAUGGACCUCACAUUUCUCUUGACUACAGUUUUGUCAGAUCUAAAAUGAGGGUAGCCUUAAGUGAUUUCCAAAUUUCUUUCCAGGUCACAUUAGAUGAAUCUGUACCUUGGGACCACCACACCGUUAAUAUAUAAGACUGGAUUACAAUUAAAGGAUGAGGAAGCUUUCUCAAAGGGUGCUUUGUAUGUGUUUACUAGUUGUGCAAACCAUGAACCUCGGUAAUGUGGUUAAUAGACCAUGAAAAGGAUGUGGUUUCUGCCCUCGGCUUAAAACAAAGACAGCAAUAAGACUAAAAGUACUUCAGGGCACAUGAGAGCAAAUUUCAAUCAAUACUUAUAGGAGAGGGAAGUUAAUUUUGCCUGAAGAGAAGAUCUGGCCUGCAUUAUGCAUUAAUUAGUAUUAGCUAAAAACUAUGUGGACCUAGCCCUUAUCAUUAAAAUAAAACACUCAAGGGUUUACAAACUAUUGAAAUUUAAGAAAAUGUCUUUGCAAUGAAUGCUACUAAGACUCACUGUUAUUAAGUACAUACAUAUCAAUUCCAUAAACUCAAUGGAAAACAUUUUACUGUGCUUGUAAAAAGAAGUGACUCAUAAACAGGAAUUCUGUCAUUUUAUCACUUUCAUGAUAGAAUGAUGUGUAGAAUUUGUUUUACAAUGCUCCAGAAAUAAAAUGUAGGGAAUGGAAAGAAGAUAGGUGAAAGAAAAGUGGUGCAACAUCAGUCAGUGUUGAAGCUAAGUUCAUUUUGCUACUUUACCUACUCAUGCAUAUGUUGGAAAAUUUACAAAAUGAAAAGCUAAAAGGAGAGAGAGCAUCUUCAGCAUGAAAGACAGCCAUUACCAAAGCAUUUCCUAUCUUUAACAAAAACUGAAGUCUUAGCCUUCAGACUAAGGAUGGUAGGAAGAAAGUAGCAAGGAAGUAUGGGACUGACCUUGCCGUAAGGAGUCACAGACCAGGGUAAGGGACCUGUUGCUGUCAGACCAUGAUUGGCAUCUUAGCCCUGACACUUCCUAGCCAUGUGAUUUGGGGCUAAAACUAGUCCACACCAAAGUUCUCUUAAAAUGCGGGUAGUAAUAGAACCUGCUCCAAAAGGUGGCUGUGAAGAUUAUAUGAGAUAAGAAUAAUGCCUAGCACAUAUUCUAACUCAAAAAGCUUACAUAUUAGGUUGGUGCAAACAUAAUUGUGGUUUUUGCCACAAUAUUGCCAACACUAAUAUUAUUAUUUGGAGGCAACAAUACGCUGUAAUGUCUAUUUUUCUUAUACUAAAGUUAACUUCACUUAGCAUGAUACACAAUGCCUCUCACAGCCCAGCUUCAGUUUUGCCCACUUUACAUUCCACUAUUCCCAGAGUUCCCUGUGUCCUAGUAACACAAAGCUACUCCCCAUUCCCAAAGCACAUUGUGUACUUCAGUGUCUCCUUGCUCCUUCAUUCUGAUUAGAACACUCUUCUCCAGUUGUCCAGUGAAUCAUUCAGUCUCUGUCAUGUAGUCCACACUGUACCUCUGAUAGCUCAUGCAGAAUGAGCUGCUGUCUCUUCUCAGAUCCAAUUGCUCUUCUGUAUAACUGAUAUGGUUUGGCUCUGUGUCCCCAUCCAAAUCACAUUUUGUAGCUCCCCUAAUUCCCACGUGUUGUGGGAGGGACCCCAUGGGAGAUAAUUGAAUCAUGGGGGCGGGUCUUUCCCAUGUUGUUCUCGUGAUAGUGAAUAAGUCUCAUGAGAUCUGAUGGUUUUAAAAAUGGUAAUUUCCCUGCACAAGCUGUCUCUCUUUUGGCCUGCUGCCAUCCGCGUAAGACAUGACUUACUCCUCCGUGCCUUCCACCAUGAUUGUGAGGCUUCCCCAGCCAUGAGGAACUGUGAGUUGAAUAAACACUUUUUCCUGUAUAAAUUACCCCGUCUCGGGUAUGUCUUUAUCAGCAGCGUGAAAAUGGACUAAUACAAUAACUUCACCACAUACCUUUCAUAGUAUAAUGCAUUUAUAUGUAGCUAUCACCCUCUACCCUCACUCCUCCAACCACUACUAAAAACUCUUCAAGGUCAAGGGCUUUACCUUAUAUAUCUUUGUGUCCCCUGUAUUGCAGAAUACCCAUCCCAUAGAUGUACUUGGGAUAGACAGCUUCUGGCACUCCUCCCAAGAUCUCUCCCUCCUGGUAUUCAGGCCCUUGUGUGAUCCUUUCCUCUUGAGUGUGGGUUGGGCCUGGUGACCCACUUCUAACAGAAGAUGGGAAAACUGAUGGAUUAUCACUUCUUUGUUAAGGUUACAAAAACCUGAGACUUCCAUUUUGCUGGAAACUUCUUUUCCUCUUGCACACUCACUCUGCGACUCUGUGUGGAGAGCUCCAUGUGACAAGGGAGGUCUGCAGCCUAAGCAACUGAGACCUCAGCCCAACAGCCCUCAAAGAACUGGAUCUUCAAACAACCACAUGAGUGACCUAGAAGCAAAUCUGUCACCAGUGCUCUUGAGACGGGCUGAAGUAUUUAAUCACCGG
rnacentral:lncRNA from 1 species